CAGCCAUAAUACGUUGAAACACCAGUUAUCGUACGAUCGCCGAAGUUAAACAACGUAGAGCCUGGUCAGUACCUAGAUGGUUGACCGCUUGGGAAUACGAGGUGCUGUAAG
rnacentral:rRNA from 1 species